rnacentral:RNase_P_RNA from 1 species
UUGUUCAUUAUAGAUGAUCGUCCACCAAAGCCCGAACGAAGUGAAGGCGAAGGUGGAAGGAAAGUCCGAACUUCCCCUAAAAUAUUUUAGGGUCAUGGUAGUGGGUAACACCCACCUGGGCAUUGGCGACAAUGUUUGCGGGAAAGUGCCACAGAGACUAUACUAAUUGCGAAGCAACUAUGGUGCUUCGCAGCCAAACGUGAAAAGUGUAAAGAUGUUUAAUUUUAUCGCGUACGCUAUAAAUUAAGCUACUUUACUCCGGCCGUGGUGACACGGUUUGGUGGUAAACCCUACCUGAAGAAAGAGCAGCGUCCCGACUUUAGUCGGGAUGAAAAGUUAGCUCGUUAUUAUCCUGAGUAUAUCGAAGGAUUAGAGUUUGUUGGUAACAGCAGACCUAGAUAAAUGAUCAUCGCCCUUCGCUAAAGCUACGGGCGACAAGUCCAAUUCAAUAGAAAGAAAGGGACUUGUACUCCGAAGCUUUAGCGUAGGAGUACAAAAUUCGGCUUAUUUAAUGGACAAGACA